ACAGCAGUAGCCACGGUAAUACGAAGGGUGCAAGCGUUACUCGGAAUUACUGGGCGUAAAGCGUGCGUAGGUGGUGGUUUAAGUCCGUUGUGAAAGCCCUGGGCUCAACCUGGGAAUUGCAGUGGAUACUGGGUCACUAGAGUGUGGUAGAGGAUAGUGGAAUUUCCGGUGUAGCAGUGAAAUGCGUAGAGAUCGGAAGGAACAUCUGUGGCGAAGGCGACUAUCUGGGCCAACACUGACACUGAGGCACGAAAGCGUGGGGAGCAAACAGGAUUAGAUACCCCGGUAGUCCCUGUCUCUUAUAC
rnacentral:rRNA from 1 species